CCCCGAUCUUAAUUUUGAUAGCUUGCGUUUCUGUGAACGUGGAAGAAAGCUCACAGAAAAGACGCCAUGGAGAGGGCACAUCAAUAUCGUCACCAACACCGAAGCCGAAACUCUUCAUCCUCUCAUUCUUCUUCUUCUUCUUCUUCUCUGAACGAAUCAUCGCGCUCCACCCCACAUAACACAAAUAGCACCAAAUUCUCUCGCUUUAACCCAAACACUAGAAGCAACCAUGGACCUAACAACACAACGGGUCCCCGUGAUGGCCCCGAGUGGAAACCUAGAAGAGGAUCAGGUAGCAGUAGCAAUACCCACCAUCAGAAUUUGAAAACAGGAGC
rnacentral:misc_RNA from 1 species